GAGACAACGCGCUUUAGCGCGGCCCGCAGGGUGAGGAACGAAGAGACGAAUAAUCCUUCCCCCACAACCA
rnacentral:sRNA from 1 species